rnacentral:rRNA from 1 species
GAUUAAGUUAUUAAGGGCGCACGGUGGAUGCCUUGGCACUAGAAGCCGAUGAAGGACGUUACUAACGACGAUAUGCUUUGGGGAGCUGUAAGUAAGCUUUGAUCCAGAGAUUUCCGAAUGGGGAAACCCAGCAUGAGUUAUGUCAUGUUAUCGAUAUGUGAAUACAUAGCAUAUCAGAAGGCACACCCGGAGAACUGAAACAUCUUAGUACCCGGAGGAAGAGAAAGAAAAUUCGAUUCCCUUAGUAGCGGCGAGCGAAACGGGAAGAGCCCAAACCAACAAGCUUGCUUGUUGGGGUUGUAGGACACUCUAUACGGAGUUACAAAGGACGACAUUAGACGAAUCAUCUGGAAAGAUGAAUCAAAGAAGGUAAUAAUCCUGUAGUCGAAAAUGUUGUCUCUCUUGAGUGGAUCCUGAGUACGACGGAGCACGUGGAAUUCCGUCGGAAUCUGGGAGGACCAUCUCCUAAGGCUAAAUACUCUCUAGUGACCGAUAGUGAACCAGUACCGUGAGGGAAAGGUGAAAAGCACCCCGGAAGGGGAGUGAAAUAGAACCUGAAACCGUGUGCUUACAAGUAGUCAGAGCCCGUUAAUGGGUGAUGGCGUGCCUUUUGUAGAAUGAACCGGCGAGUUACGAUUUGAUGCAAGGUUAAGCAGUAAAUGUGGAGCCGUAGCGAAAGCGAGUCUGAAUAGGGCGUUUAGUAUUUGGUCGUAGACCCGAAACCAGGUGAUCUACCCUUGGUCAGGUUGAAGUUCAGGUAACACUGAAUGGAGGACCGAACCGACUUACGUUGAAAAGUGAGCGGAUGAACUGAGGGUAGCGGAGAAAUUCCAAUCGAACCUGGAGAUAGCUGGUUCUCUCCGAAAUAGCUUUAGGGCUAGCCUCAAGUGAUGAUUAUUGGAGGUAGAGCACUGUUUGGACGAGGGGCCCCUCUCGGGUUACCGAAUUCAGACAAACUCCGAAUGCCAAUUAAUUUAACUUGGGAGUCAGAACAUGGGUGAUAAGGUCCGUGUUCGAAAGGGAAACAGCCCAGACCACCAGCUAAGGUCCCAAAAUAUAUGUUAAGUGGAAAAGGAUGUGGCGUUGCCCAGACAACUAGGAUGUUGGCUUAGAAGCAGCCAUCAUUUAAAGAGUGCGUAAUAGCUCACUAGUCGAGUGACACUGCGCCGAAAAUGUACCGGGGCUAAACAUAUUACCGAAGCUGUGGAUUGUCCUUUGGACAAUGGUAGGAGAGCGUUCUAAGGGCGUUGAAGCAUGAUCGUAAGGACAUGUGGAGCGCUUAGAAGUGAGAAUGCCGGUGUGAGUAGCGAAAGACGGGUGAGAAUCCCGUCCACCGAUUGACUAAGGUUUCCAGAGGAAGGCUCGUCCGCUCUGGGUUAGUCGGGUCCUAAGCUGAGGCCGACAGGCGUAGGCGAUGGAUAACAGGUUGAUAUUCCUGUACCACCUAUAAUCGUUUUAAUCGAUGGGGGACGCAGUAGGAUAGGCGAAGCGUGCGAUUGGAUUGCACGUCUAAGCAGUAAGGCUGAGUAUUAGGCAAAUCCGGUACUCGUUAAGGCUGAGCUGUGAUGGGGAGAAGACAUUGUGUCUUCGAGUCGUUGAUUUCACACUGCCGAGAAAAGCCUCUAGAUAGAAAAUAGGUGCCCGUACCGCAAACCGACACAGGUAGUCAAGAUGAGAAUUCUAAGGUGAGCGAGCGAACUCUCGUUAAGGAACUCGGCAAAAUGACCCCGUAACUUCGGGAGAAGGGGUGCUCUUUAGGGUUAACGCCCAGAAGAGCCGCAGUGAAUAGGCCCAAGCGACUGUUUAUCAAAAACACAGGUCUCUGCUAAACCGUAAGGUGAUGUAUAGGGGCUGACGCCUGCCCGGUGCUGGAAGGUUAAGAGGAGUGGUUAGCUUCUGCGAAGCUACGAAUCGAAGCCCCAGUAAACGGCGGCCGUAACUAUAACGGUCCUAAGGUAGCGAAAUUCCUUGUCGGGUAAGUUCCGACCCGCACGAAAGGCGUAACGAUUUGGGCACUGUCUCAACGAGAGACUCGGUGAAAUCAUAGUACCUGUGAAGAUGCAGGUUACCCGCGACAGGACGGAAAGACCCCGUGGAGCUUUACUGUAGCCUGAUAUUGAAAUUCGGCACAGCUUGUACAGGAUAGGUAGGAGCCUUUGAAACGUGAGCGCUAGCUUACGUGGAGGCGCUGGUGGGAUACUACCCUAGCUGUGUUGGCUUUCUAACCCGCACCACUUAUCGUGGUGGGAGACAGUGUCAGGCGGGCAGUUUGACUGGGGCGGUCGCCUCCUAAAAGGUAACGGAGGCGCUCAAAGGUUCCCUCAGAAUGGUUGGAAAUCAUUCAUAGAGUGUAAAGGCAUAAGGGAGCUUGACUGCGAGACCUACAAGUCGAGCAGGGUCGAAAGACGGACUUAGUGAUCCGGUGGUUCCGCAUGGAAGGGCCAUCGCUCAACGGAUAAAAGCUACCCCGGGGAUAACAGGCUUAUCUCCCCCAAGAGUUCACAUCGACGGGGAGGUUUGGCACCUCGAUGUCGGCUCAUCGCAUCCUGGGGCUGUAGUCGGUCCCAAGGGUUGGGCUGUUCGCCCAUUAAAGCGGUACGCGAGCUGGGUUCAGAACGUCGUGAGACAGUUCGGUCCCUAUCCGUCGUGGGCGUAGGAAAUUUGAGAGGAGCUGUCCUUAGUACGAGAGGACCGGGAUGGACAUACCUCUGGUGUACCAGUUGUCGUGCCAACGGCAUAGCUGGGUAGCUAUGUGUGGACGGGAUAAGUGCUGAAAGCAUCUAAGCAUGAAGCCCCCCUCAAGAUGAGAUUUCCCAACUUCGGUUAUAAGAUC